AUGAGGAAAAAUUUAUUGGAAUUUAUGAUUACAACAUAUGAUAGUACUAGAAAGCGAUUUAUUAUUCGACCAAAUACAGACGGCAUCAGUGUGCUUAAUGAAGAUGUUUACGACAUAUUCGGGCUAUGUAACGAGGGUGAUGAUGUCAGUAGCAUGAUAGCAACAGUACAACUAGAUGCCAAAAAAAUGGUUCCGAAUCGGCUUCUAGACAAAAGAACAGGCCUAAUCCUCAUCGAUGAGUUGAUAAAAAAUAUUGUUGAUACUCAGUCAUAUGAUGAUGAUUUUGUGAGAAGGGCCGUACUGGUUCUUAUGGGUACAGUCUUAGCACCACAAUCCACCAAGUUUGUUCCUUAUCGUUAUUACAAAAUGGUGGAGGACGUGAACGCUAUCAAGUCAUACAAUUGGAACGAUUUUACGUUGAGGGUGUGCAUGGAUGCUAUUAAAAAAUUGGUCGAAGAUCUUGAAAAAUUCAAGUGGCCUAUCAGAAACUUGGCUCUUCUUCAGUAUAUAUACUGGGAAAAAGUUGAGCCAAUUGGUGUGGAUACAUUUGAUCCUUUGUCUCGUGAAUACCCACUAAUGGUUAACUGGCCAGAAACGGAAGGAAAAAAGAGAGACGACUAUGACAACAUGCACGGGCGUGGCACCGGCAAUCUUGAAAAUUGCGUUAGCCAAGAGUACAGACGUGCUAAGGUAGCACGUGAAGGGACUGUCCCAGAUGAAGAAACGAAGAAACCUAAACGGAAAGGUGGUGGCAGGAGUAGAAAGCCAAGCACGUCAGGGGUUUCAUCGAACACGACUAACAGUAUGGACCGUGUGAUGACAUACAUAAAGCUGCUUCACAAGGAGAUGGUAAUGGAAAAGUUGAACACGGAAGGUGUGUUGUACAAACCCAAUAAGAGGGACAACAAUGAUGAAUUUGUUAAUGUACGUCAAGGAGUUGGGAUGGAGAAUGGCCAGUACAAGUCAUCAAAAUAUUGGCCAGAUAUUGAUUCACCUACCGACGUGGAGCUAGUAACAUCUUUCACGUGUUUCAAUGAUACGGACGUGCCCGUUGAUGACACGGGUGCUCCGACGACGACACCGGGUAAAGGUGACGCUACUGAUCCUUUCAUUAUACACGAUAAUGAAAAGUCCCCAUGUUCGUCAUCAACUGUACGUACAAAAGAGUUUCCGUCUAUGUCCUGA
rnacentral:rRNA from 1 species